GCGCACGUGGCGGAAUGGUAGACGCGCCAGCUUGAGGGGCUGGUGGGGCUUAGCCCCGUGGAAGUUCGAGUCUUCUCGUGCGCA
rnacentral:tRNA from 1 species